CCUACGGGUGGCAGCAGUGGGGAAUAUUGCACAAUGGGGGAAACCCUGAUGCAGCGACGCCGCGUGAAGGAAGAAGUAUUUCGGUAUGUAAACUUCUAUCAGCAGGGAAGAAAAAGAUGGUAGUUGACUAAGAAACACCGGCUAACUACGUGCCAGCAGCCGCGGGAAUACGUAGGGGGCAAGCGUUAUCCUGAUUUACUGGGUGUAAAGGGCGCGGAGGCGGUGCAGCAAGUCAGAAGUGAAAACCCGGGGCUCAACUCCGGGGCUGCUUUUGAAACUGUUGAACUAGAUUGCAGGAGAGGUAAAUGGAAUUCCUAGUGUAGCGGUGAAAUGCGUAGAUAUUAGGAGGAACACCAGUGGCGAAGGCGGCUUACUGGACUGUAAAUGACGCUGAGGCUCGAAAGCGUGGGGAGCAAACAGGAUUAGAUACCCCAGUAGUC
rnacentral:rRNA from 1 species